GGGGCUGUUUUUGGAUUUGACAAAAUUAUCAACAAAGUAAAGUGCAUGCCGAGGAACGGUUUGCCUCGAUAAAAGCCGUAAAAUAAUAGCUGCAAAUAAUAAACAACACUACGCUUUAGCAGCUUAAAAAACUGUAUAAAGCCCUUUCUUCUCAGCCUCCUCUCUUAGGACGAGAAAUAAAGAAAGGUCAAAAAAAGAGAAAAACAUGAACAUCAAGCUUGACGAUGACAUGUAAAAAUUUUCAAGCUAUAUACCUAAAAUGAGUUUUUACAAAUUAGGAUAUGAAUUUAAAAAAUAAAAACUAAGCAUGUAGGACUUUAUGAGAAGAAAUUUUGGACGCGGGUUCAAAUCCCGCCAGCUCCAA